UACGUAUGGUGCAAGCGUUAUCCGGAUUUACUGGGUGUAAAGGGAGCGCAGGCGGCGCGUUAAGCCUGGUGUGAAAGCCCGCGGCCCAACCGCGGGACUGCAUUGGGAACUGGCGCGCUGGAGUGCCGGAGGGGUAGGCGGAAUCCCUAGUGUAGCGGUGAAAUGCGUAGAUAUUAGGAGGAACACCAGUGGCGAAGGCGGCCUACUGGACGGUGACUGACGCUGAGGCUCGAAAGCGUGGGGAGCAAACAGG
rnacentral:rRNA from 1 species